AAAAAGAGAAAAGAUAAAAAAAGAAAAAGAUAAAGAAAAGAGAAAAGAAAAAAAGAAAAUAGAAAUAAAAAAGAGGACAGAAAAAUAUGAAAAAAAGAAGAAAGAAAAAAAGAAAAGAAAAAAACAGUAGAUGAAAAAAGAAAAAACAAAAGGAAAAACGAAUAAUGACAAGAGAAGAAAGAGAAAAGAUAAAAAAAGAAAAAAGAUAAAGAAAAGAGAAAAAAAGAAAAUAGAAAUAAAAAAGAGAACAGAAAAAUAUGAAAAAGAAAGAAAAAAAGAAAAGAAAAAACAGUAGAUGAAAAAAGAAAAAACAAAAGGAAAAACGAAUAAUGACAAGAGAAGAAAGGUAAAGAGAAAAGAAGAAAAAAGCCAAGUCAAAAAGUAAAGAAUAACUCGAAGGAAGGAGUGGAUGGCAAGAAAUACAGAGAAAGCAGUGCAUAGCACAGCAGAGCAAAGCAAGGCAAAAUAGCAGCCAAAGCCACGAGAAUCAAGAAGUCAGUGAAGAGCAGGAAAGGAAUGGAGGAAUCUGUCCAGAGCUGUGCCCCUGCUUGCCACAGGAGCUGCGCGGGAGGAGAAGAACGUGGGCCAAAAGGAAUGGAGGAAUCUGUCCAGAGCUGUGCCCCUGCUUGCCACAGGAGCUGCGCGGGAGGAGAAGAACGUGGGCCAAAAGGAAUGGAGGAAUCUGUCCAGAGCUGUGCCCCUGCUUGCCACAGGAGCUGCGCGGGAGGAGAAGAACGUGGGCCAAAAGGUGUUCCACUUUGGCUUUGUAUGACACAGUGGACGAGAGGGGACGGCGUUCCAGUGGAACAAACGCUGCAGACCCUGGGGAGAAUCAAAG
ensembl:lncRNA